rnacentral:rRNA from 1 species
CUGCGAGUAUGAGGCGUUAUCGCAUUAUUAGGUUUAAGGGUGCGUAGGCGGCGCAUUAAGUCAGCGGUGAAAGUUUGCAGCUUAACUGUAAAAUUGCCAUUGAUACUGGAGCGCUUGUAAUAUGGUAGAGGUAGGCGGAAUGUGUAGUGUAGCGGUGAAAUGCUUAGAUAUUACACAGAACACCAAUUGCGAAGGCAGCUUACUAUGCCAUCAUUGACGCUGAGGCACGAAAGCGUGGGGAGCGAACAGGAUUAGAUACCCUGGGUAGUCCACGCUGUAAACGAUGAUUACUGGUUGUGUGCGAUACACAGUGCGCGACUGAGGGAAACCAUUAAGUAAUCCACCUGGGGAGUACGUUCGCAAGAAUGAAACUCAAAGGAAUUGACUGGGGGCCCGCACAAGCGGAGGAACAUGUGGUUUAAUUCGAUGAUACGCGAGGAACCCUUACCUGGGCCUUAAAUGUAGAGUGCAUGACUUGGAAACAAGUCUUUCCUUCGGGACUCUUUACAAGGUGCUGCAUGGUUGUCGUCAGCUCGUGCCGUGAGGUGUCGGGUUAAGUCCCAUAACGAGCGCAACCCCUAUCGUUAGUUGCCAGCGGGUCAUGCCGGGGACUCUAAUGAAACUGCCGGUGUAAACCGUGAGGAAGGUGGGGAUGACGUCAAAUCAGCACGGCCCUUAUGUCCAGGGCUACACACGUGUUACAAUGGCCAGUACAAUGGGCAGCUACCCCGCGAGGGGAUGCUAAUCUCCAAAGCUGGUCUCAGUUCGGAUUGGAGUCUGCAACUCGACUGCCAUGAAGUUGGAUUCGCUAGUAAUCGUAUAUCAGCCAUGAUACGGUGAAUACGUUCCCGGGCCUUGUACACACCGCCCGUCAAACCAUGGAAGCUGGGGGUGCCUGAAGUACGUACCGCAGGAGCGUCUAGGUAAAUAGAAUGGG